UGGGGAAUAUUGCACAAUGGGGGAAACCCUGAUGCAGCGACGCCGCGUGAGCGAAGAAGGCUUUCGAGUCGUAAAGCUCUGUCCUAUGAGAAGAUAAUGACGGUAUCAUAGGAGGAAGCCCUGGCUAAAUACGUGCCAGCAGCCGCGGUAAUACGUAGGUCCCGAGCGUUGUCCGGAUUUAUUGGGCGUAAAGCGAGCGCAGGCGGUUAGAAAAGUCUGAAGUGAAAGGCAGUGGCUCAACCAUUGUAGGCUUUGGAAACUGUUUAACUUGAGUGCAGAAGGGGAGAGUGGAAUUCCAUGUGUAGCGGUGAAAUGCGUAGAUAUAUGGAGGAACACCGGUGGCGAAAGCGGCUCUCUGGUCUGUAACUGACGCUGAGGAUCGAAAGCGUGGGGAGCGAACAGG
rnacentral:rRNA from 1 species